rnacentral:tRNA from 1 species
AGUAUUAUAGUUUAAAGAAAAAUUUUAAAUUGCAAAUUUAAAGAUAGAGUAUUCUUAUUACUU